UACGGAGGGGGCGAGCGUUGUCCGAAGUUACUGGGCGUAAAGCGCGCGUAGGUGGGAGCACAAGUCGCUGUGAAAGCCCGAGGCUCAACCUCGAGACGCCGGUGGAAACCAUCAGGCUAGAGUCCGGGAGAGGUGAGUGGAACUGCGAGUGUAGAGGUGAAAUUCGUAGAUAUUCGCAAGAACACCAGUGGCGAAGGCGGCUCACUGGCCCGAUACUGACGCUGAGGCACGAAAGCGUGGGAGCAAACAGGG
rnacentral:rRNA from 1 species